GUGAAGAAGAACCCGGAAGUGCACCAUCUUGCCUCCGUUCCUCCAAACACCAGUGUCUGGUGAAGAGGAGCCGAGGUGUCCUGCCGGCUGUGUUCUAAAACUGCACAUGGCCACUCCAUGGCUCAGUUCUCAGGGUCCUAAAAGCCCCUUCCUGGGCUGCUCCUGCUUCUCCUGGUGCUGGGACCCCUCUUUCUCAUGAUCAAGGGAAAAAAUAAAAAAGAAAUCCUUGCAUUCUCGAAACCAGCUUGCGUUGGUUUAUAUCGCAGCAUCUCCAAGAGCAUCGAUCUUCUGCUACACGGCAGGGCCAGGGCCAGGACCACAUUCAGCUCCAGGCAAUUGUACUGAGGA